rnacentral:rRNA from 1 species
GAUGAACGCUGGCGGCGUGCUUAACACAUGCAAGUCGAACGAAGCAUUUGCGACAGAUUUUUUCGGAAUGAAGUUGCUUAUGACUGAGUGGCGGACGGGUGAGUAACGCGUGGGUAACCUGCCUUGUACUGGGGGAUAGCAGCUGGAAACGGCUGGUAAUACCGCAUAAGCGCACAAUGUUGCAUGACAUGGUGUGAAAAACUCCGGUGGUAUAAGAUGGACCCGCGUCUGAUUAGCUAGUUGGUGAGAUAACAGCCCACCAAGGCGACGAUCAGUAGCCGACCUGAGAGGGUGACCGGCCACAUUGGGACUGAGACACAGCCCAGACUCCUACGGGAGGCAGCAGUGGGGAAUAUUGCACAAUGGAGGAAACUCUGAUGCAGCGACGCCGCGUGAGUGAAGAAGUAAUUCGUUAUGUAAAGCUCUAUCAGCAGGGAAGAUAGUGACGGUACCUGACUAAGAAGCUCCGGCUAAAUACGUG